rnacentral:rRNA from 1 species
GGGUUGUGAGGUUAAGCGACUAAGCGUACACGGUGGAUGCCCUGGCAGUCAGAGGCGAUGAAGGACGUGCUAAUCUGCGAUAAGCGUCGGUAAGGUGAUAUGAACCGUUAUAACCGGCGAUUUCCGAAUGGGGAAACCCAGUGUGAUUCGUCACACUAUCAUUAACUGAAUCCAUAGGUUAAUGAGGCGAACCGGGGGAACUGAAACAUCUAAGUACCCCGAGGAAAAGAAAUCAACCGAGAUUCCCCCAGUAGCGGCGAGCGAACGGGGAGCAGCCCAGAGCCUGAAUCAGUGUGUGUGUUAGUGGAAGCGUCUGGAAAGGCGCGCGAUACAGGGUGACAGCCCCGUACACAAAAAUGCACAUGCUGUGAGCUCGAUGAGUAGGGCGGGACACGUGGUAUCCUGUCUGAAUAUGGGGGGACCAUCCUCCAAGGCUAAAUACUCCUGACUGACCGAUAGUGAACCAGUACCGUGAGGGAAAGGCGAAAAGAACCCCGGCGAGGGGAGUGAAAAAGAACCUGAAACCGUGUACGUACAAGCAGUGGGAGCACGCUUAGGCGUGUGACUGCGUACCUUUUGUAUAAUGGGUCAGCGACUUAUAUUCUGUAGCAAGGUUAACCGAAUAGGGGAGCCGAAGGGAAACCGAGUCUUAACUGGGCGUUAAGUUGCAGGGUAUAGACCCGAAACCCGGUGAUCUAGCCAUGGGCAGGUUGAAGGUUGGGUAACACUAACUGGAGGACCGAACCGACUAAUGUUGAAAAAUUAGCGGAUGACUUGUGGCUGGGGGUGAAAGGCCAAUCAAACCGGGAGAUAGCUGGUUCUCCCCGAAAGCUAUUUAGGUAGCGCCUCGUGAAUUCAUCUCCGGGGGUAGAGCACUGUUUCGGCAAGGGGGUCAUCCCGACUUACCAACCCGAUGCAAACUGCGAAUACCGGAGAAUGUUAUCACGGGAGACACACGGCGGGUGCUAACGUCCGUCGUGAAGAGGGAAACAACCCAGACCGCC